rnacentral:misc_RNA from 1 species
GAUGAAGAACGUAGCGAAAUGCAAUACUUGGUGUGAAUUGCAGAAUCCCGUGAACCAUCGAGUCUUUGAACGCAAGUUGCGCCCGAAGCCACUAGGCCGAGGGCACGCCUGCCUGGGCGUCACACGUCGUUGCCCCCCCAUCUACUCCUUCGGGAUUGCGGGGGGGCGGAUGAUGGCCUCCCGUGCGCCUAGCCGCGCGGUUGGCAUAAAUACCAAGUCCUCGGCGACGCACGCCACGACAAUCGGUGGUUGCGAAACCUCGGUUGCCUGUCGUGUGCGGUCGUCGCGCAUCGAGGGCUCGAAAAAAUUGCCGGGCUUCGGCUCGACUUUCAACGCGACCCCAGGUCAGGCGGGGUUACCCGCUGAAUUUAAGCAUAUCAAUAAGCGGAGGA